AAAGCUUACAUACUUGUUUUAAUGGUUCUUCAUUGCCGAAUAUAAACUAAAAUAAAAAGAAAAGAAAUCAAGUUAGGGUUCGGCCUAUUGGGAGCUCAAUCAAGAUCAAGAACCAAAGAAAUCAUAUUUGGAUCGGGAGAAAACGAAAGUUGUCGACUAGUAGCAACGAAAGUUGUCGACUAGUAGCCCCGUCCCGUUUUACGACGUUCGAGAUUUUGAAGGCAAGCUGCAAGCUCGGGGAUUGUCAGCCAAGCUCAUCACACUAUCUACAACUUUGGUACCUUUAAACUAAACUUGAAUUAUGGCAUGUACAGGCUAUAUUGAAGUUAAUUAUUUUGAAAAUGAAUGUAUAAUAGCCAUGCGAAAAUGGCUUAAUUAUUUUACUUGAUUUUGGGUUUCGGUUCAAUUAAGGUUUAGUACUAUUUUGAUCUAGGUGCCGUGUGCUAUGAAUAUUUAUGAAAUGCGUUAUAUGAUCAUAUAUUAAGGUGGGUUAUGACCUUGUUUGGAGCA